rnacentral:lncRNA from 1 species
AUGCUAGCCAUAAUGCUAGGCUCUGUAAUGUCACCUAAAGACGCGAGGUCUCUUCGACAAUAUACACGACUCCAGAACUCCAGAGUUAUAACGGACCUGAACCUGAACCCUGCCUGUGCACUGAAGGAGAAGGGUGGAGAAGAGGGAACAAGUCGGAGCCGCUGGAAGCCUGCACACAGUGGUGGAAAAAAAGGGCAACAACUCAGGAAACAUCUGGAUGUGUGAGCUGGACUGCAGUUAGUCAAAUACCAUCUGCUUCUUCAACUGUUUUCAGAAUGUUUUAUUGCAUUUCUAUUCUAUCAUGGUGUAUUACCUGUUUAAAUAAAUAACAUCAGGUUGAUUAGUAUACAGCUGGUGCAGCAUAAAAGCAAAUAUAAUACUUCAGAUACAAUAAAUAAACAACAACAAUGUCAACGCUUUCAAUUGUACAGUUACAGUUUUUGUCUUCAUCGCUACGGUUAAAAAAACACAACUUUGGUCUUCUAACCUUAUCUGUAGUUCUUACAGCUCCUGAUACACGACACUAAGUGCAGUGUUGUCAGAUUAGUUUCAGACUGUUGAGUGUUGGCACUGGCUCUAAAACUUUUUUCACAGGGGCGUGUCCAGUCUUUUUGGACUGGGGUGGCACAAGGGGGAUCUGACUUACGCAGAGGUGGCAUUAAGUAUGUGUCUCAGUCUUCCAGUCAUUCCCAAUUUCUGGGAGUUAUUGGCCAAAACUGUAUGGGAUUAGCAUAAAGUGGGUAUGUCUGCAAAGGGGAAACUGACGUGUGGGUAUCCAUAAACCCAUUUUCAUCCAGAUAUCUUGAGGUCAGAGGUCAAGGGAUCCGUUUGAAAAUGGCCUUGCCAGUUUUUCCAUCGCCAAAAUGGUCCUGACAUGAUAGCGUGACAGGUCAGUGCCAUAGUGCCAUAGGAUACCAGUAUGUUUACUUUUACUACAGAGAGCCAACCUCUGAAAGAGUAUGGAGUGGAAGAGGCAAGGGUAAUGGGGUGGCCAAUCAGAUUUCAGGGCCCCCCCUUCUGGACACGCCUCUGCCAAUUCUACAAGAGCUUUCUAAUAAUAUGUUUUGUCAAACUGACAAAGCAGACACUGAUUCCUCUGACAGAAAAGUUUCUUCUCAUGAUAACAAACAUAUUCUGAAGCUGUUUGAUUAAUUGAUUAAAAAAUCCUUCAAGUCGUAAGAUUCUCUGUCGGAUUAUCGUCAUAUGAAAUAUUCAUAUUUGCCAAGUGUAAAUCAACAAACAACCCUCAUCAACAAAAACAACACUGUAUAAAAGCUCUUCUUUAACAUGAUAACCUACAGUAGAGUGAUUUGUCUUAUACUCUGUUCAAACACUGACAAUAAUAAAGCCUUCAUGUCACAGUCACUGGGAUCAUCAGUGAAGCUGACUCUCCCAAACACAAAGUAAACAAAGACAAACAAAGAAAAAUCAUCGCAGUUAUGAAGCAUAUGCAUAAAUGUCCUCUAAUAAGCUAACAAUAAGGCAGCAGAUUUAUCUAGUGCACGUUGUCAUUUUGCAAUUGCAUAACUUGUAUUUCUAAUAUAAAAACUCUAGUAUCUACUUAAUAAUAUAGUUUGCUCUCAAGUCAUUUACUGAUAAAAAGAAACAACAAUUAGACUGAAAUUAAGUGAAGCUAAAAUACAGUCACUGUGAAUCAAACAGUUAACAAAAAAAGUCAUCUCUUCAAAGUAUGUUUAACAUGAUGAUACACUAGGCUACAAUUAUAAAAGUAC